rnacentral:rRNA from 1 species
GUCCACGCCGUAAACGAUGGGUGCUAGGUGUGGGCGGUGUCGACUCCGUCCGUGCCGAAGCUAACGCAUUAAGCACCCCGCCUGGGGAGUACGGCCGCAAGGCUAAAACUCAAAGGAAUUGACGGGGGCCCGCACAAGCAGCGGAGCAUGUGGUUUAAUUCGACGCAACGCGAAGAACCUUACCAGGGCUUGACAUGUGCGAGAAUGUCGUAGAAAUACGGCAGCCCUUAGGGGCUCGUUCACAGGUGGUGCAUGGCUGUCGU